rnacentral:rRNA from 1 species
CCCUGCCUUUUGUACACACCGCCCGUCGCUCCUACCGAUUUCGAGUGGUCCGGUGAACCUUUCGGACCGGGGACAGUCUCGUGCUGCUCCUGGGAAGUCAAGUAAACCACAUCACUUAGAGGAAGGAGAAGUCGUAACAAGGUUUCCGUA